rnacentral:sRNA from 1 species
CACAGUUGAGACUUAAAAUUUCUACUAUCUCAAAAAGUUUCCUAAGCCACUUCAGUCAACAUCUCCCCUCCUUAAGCCCCAUCACUGAUGUGAUUUCUGUCCCUACAGUUUUCCCUUUUCCAGAGUGCAUUGACAAGUUUUUAAGCAGAGCAGUGACUCAAUUUUAGGAAGCAUGGCCUAGCAUCUUACCUCAGGUUGGAUUGGAAGGGCAAGGAGACCAAUAAACUGCAGUAAUGGGAGGCCUGGGAUGAAAUCCAGGCUGGGCUUUAGCUAGCCCUAGUGAUCUGUGUUUACCAACUAUAGGAGGUAGAAGAGGAUGAUCCAGUGCCUGAGAUCCGUCGAGAUCACUUUGAAGAAGCCAUGCGCUUUGCGCGCCGUUCUGUCAGUGACAAUGACAUUCGGAAGUAUGAGAUGUUUGCCCAGACCCUUCAGCAGAGUCGGGGCUUUGGCAGCUUCAGAUUCCCUUCAGGGAACCAGGGUGGAGCUGGCCCCAGUCAGGGCAGUGGAG